rnacentral:rRNA from 1 species
CAGUCGCCGCGGUAAUACGUAGGGUGCAAGCGUUAAUCGGAAUUACUGGGCGUAAAGCGUGCGCAGGCGGUUUGUUAAGACAGAUGUGAAAUCCCCGGGCUUAACCUGGGAACUGCAUUUGUGACUGGCAAGCUAGAGUCUUGUAGAGGGGGGUAGAAUUCCAGGUGUAGCGGUGAAAUGCGUAGAGAUCUGGAGGAAUACCGGUGGCGAAGGCGGCCCCCUGGACAAAGACUGACGCUCAGGUGCGAAAGCGUGGGGAGCAAACAGGAUUAGAUACCCGGGUAGUCCCUGUCUCUUAUAC